rnacentral:ncRNA from 1 species
ACAACUAUAUUGAUGAAGAUCAUACCUUUGAUUGUGAUUAUCCAAGAGAGCUAGUGGCUGGUGUGAACUAGCAUAAUUCAUCAAAGGGCAGCACUUCUGAAUAGGCAGACUGAAUUGAGUAGGUUUGUCCGGCAUAUGCCCGUUAUGCAUAGCUUCAACGAAGGCUGUCGUGUGUAAGCAGACAGUGAAAAAGGGUGGCACCGCGUGAGUAGAUCCAAGCUUUUCGCCCCUUAC